rnacentral:rRNA from 1 species
ACACGACUACAUUAGAUACCCCCGUAGUCCUAGCCGUAAACGAUACUCGCUAGGUGUCGGCCACGGUGCGACCGUUGUCGGUGCCGUAGGGAAGCCGUGAAGCGAGCCACCAGGGAAGUACGGCCGCAAGGCUGAAACUUAAAGGAAUUGGCGGGGGAGCACAACAACGGGUGGAGCUUGCGGUUUAAUUGGAUUCAACGCCGGAAAUCUUACCGGGACCGACAGCAACAUGAAGGCCAAGCUGAAGACUUUGCCGGAUUAGCUG